AUUUUAAUGUUUGUUUUUG
rnacentral:sRNA from 1 species